GGGGGUGUUUUGGAUUCGACAGACACGCUCGGAGAGGAUAAAAAGCAUACCGCAGGUUACGUCUUGCGUCAACAACGUAAAAUUAAAUUUAAACGCAAAAACAAAUAAAGUUGCAACGGCUCCGGCCCUUGCGCUUGCCGCUUAAUUUAACUUAAGCUGUCGGUCUAUCCCCUCCGGCGAGGAUAAAACCGGCAUCAGAUAAGCCCGGGUACUUCUUUGUAAAAAGGAUGUAUUACAAAGACGACCUUUUCAUCCUUUGACCGGCGCGGUUCUGCCGACCGUCCGCGACGGUAACCUAUAAACAAAUCGGCUAAGUAUGUAGAAAGUAUCCCCUUCGCUUGCCUGAACAGGGGUUCAACUCCCCUCACCUCCACCA
rnacentral:tmRNA from 1 species